rnacentral:sRNA from 1 species
UAUUGUUACUUAUAAUAAAUGUAAAUAAAUUAAAGGUUUAUAUUGCAUAUUAUUUUUGACUUUAUAGUAGCCCUGAAAGUUCGGUCAGAACCGAUUAAACAGAACCGAUUAAACCGAACCGAUCAAAUCUUAUCAAGUGGUACAUAAAGUAUUUUAGAUCGUCUACUUGUCACAUAAUCAUUCUUGGUCUUUGAGGAAGCAAGACAACCAUGAAGAGGAAUGGUCUUGAUACCAAAAAAAAAGAAUAAGAUAAUGAACGGUUUAAGGUAAAUAUGAUAGUCCACAUAAACAAUUGCAUUAAUCAAAUAGUAUAAUCAAAUGAUAAUCUGAUGAAAUUU